rnacentral:lncRNA from 1 species
GAGAAAAUAUGCGUGUGAGCUAGAGCAUCUGCUUCUAUUACUUAGUUUUCAAGAGGACACUGCAAGUCACGGAAAUGAGUGGGCUCAAUGCUGGAGAGGAUCCAGAGGAAGCCAGAUCGUAAGAAGACAAAGGAAUAACAGCUUGGAGAGAGCUGUGGGCCCACCUGCUACUGCAGCUUAGAAAGAAGCCUUCCUGAGAAAGUGCUUCUCUCAAGGAUAAGUGGCAAGCAAGGACAGUGUGUGGCUGCAGUAUGAGGUCAUGAGGACAACUGGGAAGUGAGAAGGAGCAGGAGAUUCCAGACAGGAGAUAUUGGAAACUAUCAAGUUACAAAUUCUAAAC